GAAACUUUUUCCUUAUCGUUAUCUCAGUGGUUUUUUAAGUUUUUAGUUGGACACAAUCAGUAUUCUGAAUCUUUUGUGACUCUUUUGUUUAAGCUUUGAAAUGAUAUUGUUCCUUCGUUGUUGGCCAUAUACCUUUCCUUUGCAAUUUUUAUCGUUGGCCUUUUGCUUUAACUUGAAAUCUGAUUGCGAAAUCAUUGAAGUUUUAAAUAGAGACAAGUCAUUGGAUCAUUC
rnacentral:lncRNA from 1 species